rnacentral:rRNA from 1 species
GCUUAACGCGAAGAACCUUACCCACCUUUGACAUGCACGGAAUUUGCCAGAGAUGGCUUAGUGCUCGAAAGAGAGCCGUAACACAGGUGCUGCAUGGCUGCCGUCAGCUCGUGUCGUGAGAUGUUGGGUUAAGUCCCGCAACGAGCGCAACCCUUGUCAUUAGUUGCUACGAAAGGGCACUCUAAUGAGACUGCCGGUGACAAACCGGAGGAAGGUGGGGAUGACGUCAAGUCCUCAUGGCCCUUAUAGGUGGGGCUACACACGUCAUACAAUGGCUGGUACAAAGGGUUGCCAACCCGGCGAGGGGGUAGCCAAUCCCAUAAAGCCAGUCGUAGUCCGGAUCGCAGUCUGCAACUCGACUGCGUGAAGUCGGAAUCGCUAGUAAUCGUGGAUCAGCAUGUCACGGUGAAUACGUU